rnacentral:lncRNA from 10 species
CAGGCCCUCCCUGGCUUGAAGGUGAGGCUUCACCAGAGACCAGCCUCCUUCUGCCCAGGAGCCUGUCUGCCUUCUGCCACUAUUCAUGGCACCCAGGCUGUUCAUGCCAAGUGGGGCCUGCAGGCCAGUGCUGAGCUGUCCUCAGCACCCUCUUAGCCUCCGUCUCUUGCUUGUCAGCACCCAAAGUCCAGAGGUGACUCUGGCGGCGGGGAUGGGUGAGUCAGCGCUGCCCCCCUAAGCAUGUGCACAACCUGGUGGUCUGUGACAGCGCCCAGCAUUGGCCGCGACUUUUCUCCAAGAUCCAAGAAGGUAGAGACAGCGGGGAGAAGCCAGGCAGCGGAAGCAGGCGUUUCCAACCCGGAAGAUUCAGAUUAUGCAUCUCAGAAGAAACAC